AACGAACGCUGGCGGCAUGCCUAACACAUGCAAGUCGAACGAGACCUUCGGGUCUAGGGGCGCACGGGUGGGUAACGGGUGGGAACCUGCCCUUAGGUUGGGAAUAACUCCCCGAAGGGGGUGCUAUUACGGGAUAAUUGCUUCGGCCCAAAGAUUUAUCGCCUUGGGAUGGGCCCGCGUUGGAUUAGCUAGUUGGUAGGGUAAAAGCCUACCAAGGCGACGAUCCAUAGCUGGUUUGAGAGGAUGAUCAGCCACACUGGGACUGAGACACGGCCCAGACUCCUACGGGAGGCAGCAGUGGGGAAUAUUGGACAAUGGGCGAAAGCCUGAUCCAGCAAUGCCGCGUGAGUGAUGAAGGCCUUAGGGUUGUAAAGCUCUUUUACCCGGGAUGAUAAUGACAGUACCGGGAGAAUAAGCGCCGGCUAACUCCGUG
rnacentral:rRNA from 1 species